GUAGGGAAUAUUGGGCAAUGGAGGCAACUCUGACCCAGUCAUGCCGCGUGCAGGAUGACGGCCCUCUGGGUUGUAAACUGCUUUUAUACGGGAAGAAAAAAUACUACGUGUAGUAUACUGACGGUACCGUAAGAAUAAGGAUCGGCUAACUCCGUGCCAGCAGCCGCGGUAAUACGGAGGAUCCAAGCGUUGUCCGGAUUUAUUGGGUUUAAAGGGUGCGUAGGCGGAUCUUUAAGUCAGUGGUGAAAGCCUGCAGCUUAACUGUAGAAUUGCCAUUGAAACUGAAGAUCUUGAAUGUGGUUAAAGUAGGCGGAAUGUAUCAUGUAGCGGUGAAAUGCUUAGAUAUGAUACAGAACACCGAUAGCGAAGGCAGCUUGCUGAACCAUUAUUGACGCUGAGGCACGAAAGCGUGGGGAGCGAACAGGAUUAGAAACCCGGGUAGUCC
rnacentral:rRNA from 1 species